rnacentral:rRNA from 1 species
UGGGGAAUAUUGCACAAUGGGCGCAAGCCUGAUGCAGCCAUGCCGCGUGUGUGAAGAAGGCCUUCGGGUUGUAAAGCACUUUCAGCGAGGAGGAAGGUGGUGAGCUUAAUACGCUCAUCAAUUGACGUUACUCGCAGAAGAAGCACCGGCUAACUCCGUGCCAGCAGCCGCGGUAAUACGGAGGGUGCAAGCGUUAAUCGGAAUUACUGGGCGUAAAGCGCACGCAGGCGGUUUGUUAAGUCAGAUGUGAAAUCCCCGGGCUCAACCUGGGAACUGCAUUUGAAACUGGCAAGCUAGAGUCUCGUAGAGGGGGGUAGAAUUCCAGGUGUAGCGGUGAAAUGCGUAGAGAUCGGGAGGAAUACCGGUGGCGAAGGCGGCCCCCUGGACGAAGACUGACGCUCAGGUGCGAAAGCGUGGGGCAGCAAACAGGAUUAGAUACCCUGGUAGUCCACGCUGUAAACGAUGUCGAUUUGGAGGUUGUGCCCUUGAGGCGUGGCUUCCGGAGCUAACGCGUUAAAUCGACCGCCUGGGGAGUACGGCCGCAAGGUUAAAACUCAAAUGAAUUGACGGGUC